CUCAAAGAAAGGGCUGUAACCAC
rnacentral:piRNA from 1 species